rnacentral:misc_RNA from 1 species
GAUGAAGAACGUAGUGAAAUGCGAUAAGUAAUGUGAAUUGCAGAAUUCAGUGAAUCAUUGAGUCUUUGAACGCACAUUGCGCCCCCUGGUAUUCCGGGGGGCAUGCCUGUCCGAGCGUCAUUGCUGCCCUCAAGCACGGCUUGUGUGUUGGGCCCCCGUCCCCGGUUUCCCCCGGGGACGGGCCCGAAAGGCAGCGGCGGCACCGCGUCCGGUCCUCGAGCGUAUGGGGCUUUGUCACCCGCUCUGUAGGCCCGGCCGGCGCCAGCCGACACCCAACUUUAUUUCUAAGGUUGACCUCGGAUCAGGUAGGGAUACCCGCUGAACUUAAGCAUAUCAAUAAGCGGAGGA